GACGAACGCUGGCGGCGUGCUUAACACAUGCAAGUCGAACGGAAAGGCCCUGCUUUUGUGGGGUGCUCGAGUGGCGAACGGGUGGGUAACACGUGAGUAACCUGCCCUUGACUUUGGGAUAACUUCAGGAAACUGGGGCUAAUACCGGAUAGGAGCUCCUGCUGCAUGGUGGGGGUUGGAAAGUUUCGGCGGUUGGGGAUGGACUCGCGGCUUAUCAGCUUGUUGGUGGGGUAGUGGCUUACCAAGGCUUUGACGGGUAGCCGGCCUGAGAGGGUGACCGGCCACAUUGGGACUGAGAUACGGCCCAGACUCCUACGGGAGGCAGCAGUGGGGAAUAUUGCACAAUGGGCGGAAGCCUGAUGCAGCAACGCCGCGUGCGGGAUGACGGCCUUCGGGUUGUAAACCGCUUUCGCCUGUGACGAAGCGUGAGUGACGGUAAUGGGUAAAGAAGCGCCGGCUAACUACGUG
rnacentral:rRNA from 1 species